CCAGACUCCUACGGGAGGCAGCAGUGGGGAAUAUUGCACAAUGGGCGAAAGCCUGAUGCAGCAACGCCGCGUGAAGGAAGAAGGGUUUCGGCUCGUAAACUUCUAUUAACAGGGACGAAAGAAAUGACGGUACCCACAGAGGAAGCACCGGCUAACUCCGUGCCAGCAGCCGCGGUAAUACGGAGGGUGCAAGCGUUGUCCGGAAUCAUUGGGCGUAAAGAGUUCGUAGGCGGCAUGUAAAGUCAGGUGUUAAAGGCGCAGGCUCAACCUGUGUAUGGCACUUGAUACUUGCAAGCUGGAAUGCGGUAGAGGUAAAGGGAAUUCCUGGUGUAGCGGUGAAAUGCUUAGAUAUCAGGAGGAACAUCGGUGGCGUAAGCGCUUUACUGGGCCGUAAUUGACGCUGAGGAACGAAAGCCAGGGUAGCAAAUGGGAUUAGAUACCCGAGUAG
rnacentral:rRNA from 1 species